rnacentral:rRNA from 1 species
GUCUACGGCCAUGCCACCCUGAACAAGCCUGAUGUCUGAUCUCGGAAGCUAAACAGGGUCAGGCCUGGUUAGUUCUUGGAUGGGAGACUACCUUGGAAGACCAAGUGCCAUAGGUA